rnacentral:rRNA from 1 species
AACGAACGCUGGCGGCAUGCCUAACACAUGCAAGUCGAACGAUUGCCUUCGGGUGAUAGUGGCGCACGGGUGCGUAACGCGUGGGAAUCUGCCCUUAGGUUCGGAAUAACAGCUGGAAACGGCUGCUAAUACCGGAUGAUAUCGCGAGAUCAAAGAUUUAUCGCCUGAGGAUGAGCCCGCGUUGGAUUAGGUAGUUGGUGGGGUAAAGGCCUACCAAGCCGACGAUCCAUAGCUGGUCUGAGAGGAUGAUCAGCCACGCUGAGACUGAGACACGGCCCAGACUCCUACGGGAGGCAGCAGUGGGGAAUAUUGGACAAUGGGCGCAAGCCUGAUCCAGCAAUGCCGCGUGAGUGAUGAAGGCCCUAGGGUUGUAAAGCUCUUUUACCCGGGAAGAUAAUGACUGUACCGGGAGAAUAAGCCCCGGCUAACUCCGUG